UCAGGAUGAACGCUAGCGACAGGCCUAACACAUGCAAGUCAGGGGCAGCACAAGGAGCAAUCUGAGGUGGCGACCGGCGCACGGGUGAGUAACACGUAUGCAACCUGCCUGUAAGCGGGGAAUAACCCGUUGAAAGACGGACUAAUACCGCAUAAUACUAAAUUACUGCAUGGUAAUUUAUUUAAACAUUUAUGGCUUACAGAUGGGCAUGCGCAUGAUUAGCUAGUUGGAGAGGUAACGGCUCCCCAAGGCAACGAUCAUUAGGGGUUCUGAGAGGAAGGUCCCCCACACUGGUACUGAGACACGGACCAGACUCCUACGGGAGGCAGCAGUGAGGAAUAUUGGUCAAUGGACGAGAGUCUGAACCAGCCAAGUCGCGUGCAGGAAGAAAAUGUCCUAUGGAUUGUAAACUGCUUUUGCAGGGGAAUAAAGUGAGCCACGUGUGGUUUUUGUAUGUACUCUGCGAAUAAGGAUCGGCUAACUCCGUGCCAGCAGCCGC
rnacentral:rRNA from 1 species